AUUGAACGCUGGCGGCAGGCUUAACACAUGCAAGUCGAACGAGUGGCGGACGGGUGAGUAAUGCUUGGGAAUCUAGCUUAUGGAGGGGGAUAACUACGGGAAACUGUAGCUAAUACCGCGUACCAUAGGAUGAGCCCAAGUGGGAUUAGGUAGUUGGUGAGGGAAAGGCUCACCAAGCCGACGAUCUCUAGCUAGUCUGCGAGAAUGACCAGCCACACGGGGACUGAGAAGCGGCCCAGACGCCUACGGGAGGCAGCAUUGGGGAAUAUUGAGCAAUGGGGGCAACCUGACGCAGCCAUGCCUCGUGAAUGAAGAAGGCCGUCGGGUUGUAAAGUUGUUUAAGAAGCGAGGCGUUAACUACAGAAGAAGCAACGGCUAACUCGGUGCUAGCCGCCGCGGUAAUAC
rnacentral:rRNA from 1 species